rnacentral:misc_RNA from 1 species
GAAAUGCGAUAAGUAGUGUGAAUUGCAGAAUUCAGUGAAUCAUCGAAUCUUUGAACGCACAUUGCGCCCCUUGGUAUUCCAUGGGGCAUGCCUGUUCGAGCGUCAUUUGUACCCUCAAGCUCUGCUUGGUGUUGGGUGUUUGUUCCGCCGCGCGCGCGAACUCGCCUCAAAUGUAUUGGCAGCCGGCAAUCUGGUGUUGGAGCGCAGCACAAUUUGCGCUCUUCGCUGUAUUGCGGCGUCCACAAAGCCCAUAUUUUUUACGCUUGACCUCGGAUCAGGUAGGGAUACCCGCUGAACUUAA